GAUGAACGCUGGCGGCGUGCCUAAUACAUGCGAGUCGAGCGAACAGACGAGGAGCUUGCUCCUCUGACGUUAGCGGCGGGCGGGUGAGUAACACGUGGAUAACCUACCUAUAAGACUGGGAUAACUUCGGGAAACCGGAGCUAAUACCGGAUAAUAUAUUGAACCGCAUGGUUCAAUAGUGAAAGACGGUUUUGCUGUCACUUAUAGAUGGAUCCGCGCCGCAUUAGCUAGUUGGUAAGGUAACGGCUUACCAAGGCAACGAUGCGUAGCCGACCUGAGAGGGUGAUCGGCCACACUGGAACUGAGACACGGUCCAGACUCCUACGGGAGGCAGCAGUAGGGAAUCUUCCGCAAUGGGCGAAAGCCUGACGGAGCAACGCCGCGUGAGUGAUGAAGGUCUUCGGAUCGUAAAACUCUGUUAUUAGGGAAGAACAAAUGUGUAAGUAACUAUGCACGUCUUGACGGUACCUAAUCAGAAAGCCACGGCUAACUACGUG
rnacentral:rRNA from 1 species